UACGUCUUCACAAGUGGAUGCCAAGCUCUUGGGUGUAGAUCUGCAUCUAAUCAGAAAUAUGGAGUUUCAACAUGCCAGAGAGAUGAAUGUUUGAAGCUGUCACUUCAGGCUCGGUAGAGAAAGAAACAACAUGGGUAUUAUGGAGGCUUUAGGCGUGUGGGCAAGAGCCUCAGAAGGAAAGCCACCCACCCUAUCAAGUCAGGUCAAGCCAGAAGCACAC